UACGUAGGGAGCAAGCGUUGUCCGGAAUCAUUGGGCGUAAAGCGCGCGUAGGCGGCCCGAUAAGUCCGCUGUGAAAGUCAACGGCUCAACUGUUGGAUGCCGGUGGAUACUGUCGGGCUAGAGUACGGAAGAGGCAAGUGGAAUUCCUGGUGUAGCGGUGGAAUGCGCAGAUAUCAGGAGGAACACCUAUAGCGAAGGCAGCUUGCUGGAACGUUACUGACGCUAAGGCGCGAAAGCGUGGGGAGCGAACAGG
rnacentral:rRNA from 1 species